rnacentral:rRNA from 1 species
AGUGAACGCUGGCGGUAGGCCUAACACAUGCAAGUCGAACGGCAGCACAGUAAGAGCUUGCUCUUACGGGUGGCGAGUGGCGGACGGGUGAGGAAUACAUCGGAAUCUACUUUUUCGUGGGGGAUAACGUAGGGAGACUUACGCUAAUACCGCAUACGACCUACGGGUGAAAGCAGGGGAUCUUCGGACCUUGCGCGAUUGAAUGAGCCGAUGUCGGAUUAGCUAGUUGGCGGGGUAAAGGCCCACCAAGGCGACGAUCCGUAGCUGGUCUGAGAGGAUGAUCAGCCACACUGGAACUGAGACACGGUCCAGACUCCUACGGGAGGCAGCAGUGGGGAAUAUUGGAAAAUGGGCGCAAGCCUGAUCCAGCCAUACCGCGUGGGUGAAGAAGGCCUUCGGGUUGUAAAGCCCUUUUGUUGGGAAAGAAAAGCAGCAGGUUAAGACCCCGCUGUUCUGACGGUACCCAAAGAAUAAGCACCGGCUAACUUCGU